rnacentral:sRNA from 1 species
GCCGGGCAUGGUGGUGCCUGCCUGUAGUCCCAGCUACUCGGGAGGCUGAGGCAGGAGAAUUGCUUGAACCCAGGAGGCAGAGGUUGCAGUGAGCCGAGAUCGCUCCACUGCACUCCAGCCUGAGUGACAGAGCGAGACUCUGUCUCAA